AUGUCGAUAAUAGAGCUCGUAUGCGAAAGAUAUGGACGAAGCUUAGUCCCUACUUUUCGAGUGCGGCGAAUUCGAUACAGUUUUGUAAAUCCGAGAUAGAAUGAGAAUUAGCCAACGAGGUCUAAAUGAGAGUUGAAGAUCUCAUUAAUAGAAACUCAACGGUAAAAAGACAGACAAAAAUGGAACUCGUAUGCGAAAGUUAUGGACGAAGCUUAGUCCCUACUUUUCAAGCGCGGCGAAUUCGAUACAGUUUUGUAAAUCCGAGAUAGAAUGAGAAUUAGCUAACGAGGUCUAAAUGAAAGUUGAAGAUCUCAUUAAUAGGAACUCAACGGUAAAAAGACAGACAAAAACGGAGCUCGUAUGCAAAAGUUACGGACGAAGCUUAGAGACUACUUUACUAUAAAACUCCUAUAAAUACAAGGGUGAACUCCUCAUAUUUUCUUCACACCAUAAGCCUCUCUUUCUCUCUCUAACUUCUCUCUAACCUCCCUAAACCCCUCCCAAGUCUAGGGAACCUCCCUAUCACGAGAAGAAAGCCCCGGAGCGCCCGACGGCUCCGAGAAGAA
rnacentral:lncRNA from 1 species